GCUUGAGCGAGAAACUCCGCGGCCGCCGCCGGUCCAGCCAGUUACGAUCCUGUGCUCCGCGCGCUCGGCAGCAGUCCGACGUACGCCUGCUUCUUGCCUCGGCGACUCCGCCGCAUCCCGGAGCACGGACUCACAGGCGUGCUCGCGAGCGCGGUUUCAUCGCGCGUUUAUUGUUUUGGUUUGUUUUUCUCUCUCUCUACCUGGAUUACGGCCCGAGCCUCGUGCCACUUCCUCUGCGCCGGAGGUCACGUCCCUAUGACCACAAUACGUCAUUCUCGACUGAGAUAAGAAGCCGGGGACAUGAUCAGUUGAACGAGGACCCUGCUCCAGCGGACCAUGUGUCACUUCUGCUUCAGAGUCCUAACCUUCUUCAGCCUGCUCUACCUGACAGUGUCACAAAAUCCACCGGUCUUCAAAAAGGACGAUGAAAGGACACUGUACGAGGUGAUGGCGGGCGACACGGUGCGGCUCCGGUGCGCCGUCUCAGGACAGCCGCGGCCCUACUUGGCCUGGUAUCACGAAGAGAGCGAACUGACGACGGCGCCACGCGAGAACAUCCGCGUGUCGCGUCACACGCUCACCAUCCAGAACGCGCAGCCACGCGAUGCCGGCCGCUACUUCUGCAAGGCGAACAACGGCCUCGGCGAAGCCUGGAAGAACUUCACUGUGCGAGUAGAAGUCCUUUCUGGAGACCAAGCAAAAGCCCCGGACAACAUUCUUCACACGAGAAAUGCAAGUGCAGUUACCGCACCGUCUGUCGAUGAAACAACAGAAAUCACGGAAAAGCUAGAGCCACCGACGUUCGUAAAGGUGAAUCCCCAGUUGGUGGUACAGCCAGCGGGAAGCAACGUGGUGUUGCCAUGUAUCGUCAAAAGCAACCCUCCGGCGAACAUCACGUGGCUCAAGAACGACCAGCCACCAACGCGACUGCUGGGAAAAAAGGUUAUUUACCGGACACACAAAUUGUCAUUGAAUGACGUAAUGGUGUCCGACGCGGGCAAUUACACCUGCACGGCCAUCAAUUCUCUGGGGAACAUCAGCUACACCUACACAGUUGAAAUCAAAGAACGAAUUCCACUUCGGCCAAUAAUUUAUGAGGACUCCAUCCAGAACCUGACCGUGUACGUCGGACAGCAAGCACGCUUCGAAUGCCGCUUCAUAAGCGACCUGCAGCCGCACAUUCGCUGGCUGCGGCAUUACUCCGUGAACGGCUCAUACUUCCAGAACGAUGACGAGACUACACCUUACGUCAGUGUCGUUCAGGAAUCGAGUGCGAAUCAGAGCAUAUAUGAUCCUCGAGUCCUCGUGAUCGACAACGUGACGAUGGAUGACGAAGGCUGGUACACUUGUCUAGUUGGCAAUAGCGUUGGCAUCAGCAACAAGAGCGUCUAUUUGAAUGUUGAGCCAUUGCCGCAACCCGAGAAGUCCAGCUUCACGAUGACGCUCCUCAAGCAUCCAUGGAUGUUGGCGCUGGCCACUGUGCUGGGCGUGAGCGCCGUUGUGGGCGUCAUCACCACGCUCGUCUGCCGCUCUGCCAUGCUGUCACUGCAGCAGAAGCUCGAUGUAGCCCAGAAGCAGCAUGUGGUCGUCCGCAAGAAGGUCAUCCUCGAGCGCCAGAUUUCGGAUUCUGGGCACUACGAAGACUCAUCCGUAGCCCCACUGGUCAAGAUCGACCACCAGAGGGGCUUCAUGCCUUCGGAGCUAAACACCGUUUGCGAAUACGAGUUGCCUCUGGACCCCGAAUGGGAAUUUCCCAGGGAAAGACUGGUCCUCGGCAAGCCUCUGGGAGAAGGAGCAUUCGGCCAAGUGGUCAAGGCAGAGGCGUACGGCCUUGGCGACAAGGAAGGACCCACAAUCGUAGCCGUCAAGAUGCUGAAAGAUGGGCAUACUGACAGCGAAAUGGCCAACCUCGUUUCCGAGAUGGAGGUGAUGAAGACCAUCGGAAAGCACAUCAACAUCAUUAACCUGCUUGGAUGCUGCACGCAAGACGGCCCGCUUCAAGUGAUAGUCGAGUACGCCGCCCAUGGGAACCUCCGCGACUUCUUGCGCACCCACCGUCCGAGCUCUGGUUACGAGCAAGCUAUUGGGGCUGACUUGAAACCAAAGACGCUGACGCACAAGGACCUGGUCUCGUUCGCGUAUCAGGUCGCUCGUGGGAUGGAAUACCUCGCCUCGAAAAAGUGCAUUCACCGUGAUCUGGCAGCGAGAAACGUGCUAGUCGUGGAGAACAACGUAAUGAAGAUUGCUGACUUCGGUCUGGCGCGUGACUUGCACAACAUCGACUACUACAAGAAGAAAUCAGACGGACGUCUGCCUGUCAAAUGGAUGGCUCCGGAAGCCCUGUUCGAUCGGGUCUACACCACACAAAGCGACGUAUGGUCUUAUGGCAUCCUUCUGUGGGAGAUCAUGACACUCGGUGGCACACCGUACCCGUCUGUGCCCAUCGAAAAGUUGUUCCAGUUGCUCAGAGACGGACACAGGAUGGAGAAACCUCAGGGCUGUUCGCUUGAAGUGUAUGUGAUAAUGAGGGAAUGCUGGAACCAGUCGCCAUACCAGCGGCCAACCUUCACGGAACUCGUGGAGGACCUCGACCGGAUCUUGACGUUCGCCACGGACCAGGAGUACCUGGACCUGUCUAUUCCUGUGCUGGACACGCCGCCCAGCUCCUCCGAGAGCGACUCCUCUCUCUCGUUCGCCGCGCACCACACGGCCGUGUGAAGAUGCUGCCGACCCCUAGUCGCGCGACCGCUCCCCCGCCUCUCGGCGCCCGAGGCAGGGCCCUGGCCAUCCGCUGCUGGACAGCACGUCCUGCGCAGUGGUGCACGCUUCCGGCGCAAGGCAGCGUCCUCUGUAAAAAGCUGUGAAUAGCUCGAUGUAAAAUGAAAAGUGGAUGUUAUUUAUUAUGUAAAGUAUCGCUCGUUUCAGGGAUAUGACUUCAUGCACAUUACUGUCACGCGAAGCAGCGAACUCGCGCUGGAUCGCGUUAAAUUUCAAAGGUGCCGCAGAGGAUACAAUAGCUAUAUUUUUUUAGCUUAGCUUUGAGCGAGCUUAAGGUGACCGCACAAAGCGGGUAUUCCUGCUAUUUCCUCCCAAGUGCAAUGGUCUCCCAAGUGCAAUGGCAGUUUCCUCAAUGCGCCCCAACAUUCAGCAUUGUA
rnacentral:misc_RNA from 1 species